GUGACGUGGAGAGAUUCAGACUGAUGGUGGUUUUGAGUUUAAUCUUCCCUCUGAUUCACUGAAUCAAACACUCAAUCCAGACUGUGAGCAGAACUGGUAUUUACAGGACGGGCGUCUGAUAGCAGAUCCAUCAAAUCCUCAAAGAAUGAUUGAUCCUGUUAUUUUUUCUCAUCUGAUCGCCUCGUCACGUCUCACUGUGUGAAUCUGAAUCAUCAGAUCAUCUGUGAUUCCACUGAUGGACUUCAUUCCAGUCUUAAGAUCAUGUUCAGAGUGAGGAAUCAAACUGCAGCGACUCCAAACUCAGAUGAUCUGAAUGAAGCGUCUCUCCAGCACUCAGAUCAGUUGUGGUGGCUGUUUGCUCUCAUCAUCAUCAUCAUCAUCAUCAUCUUAACGUGUUUCUUG